rnacentral:rRNA from 1 species
UUCAACGGAGAGUUUGAUCCUGGCUCAGGACGAACGCUGGCGGCGUGCUUAACACAUGCAAGUCGAGCGGUAAGGCCCUUCGGGGUACACGAGCGGCGAACGGGUGAGUAACACGU